rnacentral:rRNA from 1 species
GACGAACGCUGGCGGCGUGCUUAACACAUGCAAGUCGAACGGAAAGGCCCUGCUUUUGUGGGGUGCUCGAGUGGCGAACGGGUGAGUAACACGUGAGUAACCUGCCCUUGACUUUGGGAUAACUUCAGGAAACUGGGGCUAAUACCGGAUAGGAGCUCCUGCUGCAUGGUGGGGGUUGGAAAGUUUCGGCGGUUGGGGAUGGACUCGCGGCUUAUCAGCUUGUUGGUGGGGUAGUUGCUUACCAAGGCUUUGACGGGUAGCCGGCCUGAGAGGGGGACCGGCCACAUUGGGACUGAGAUACGGCCCAGAGUCCUACGGGAGGCAGCAGUGGGGAAUAUGGCACAAUGGGCGGAAGCCUGAUGCAGCAACGCCGCGUGCGGGAUGACGGCCUUCGGGUUGUAAACCGCUGUCGCCUGUGACGAAGCGGGAGUGACGGUAAUGGGUAAAGAAGCACCGGCUAACUACGUG